CCUGAGUGAUGAAGGCUUUCGAGUCGUAAAGCUCUGUCAAGUGGGAAGAACCUGUCCCGCGUUAAUACCGCGGGACACUGACGGUACCACUGGAGGAAGCACCGGCUAACUCCGUGCCAGCAGCCGCGGUAAGACGGAGGGUGCAAGCGUUAUUCGGAAUUACUGGGCGUAAAGGGCGCGUAGGCGGCUCCUUAAGUCAGGCGUGAAAGCCCGGGGCUCAACCCCGGAAGUGCGUUUGAAACUGAGGAGCUUGAGUACGGGAGAGGGAAGUGGAAUUCCUGGUGUAGAGGUGAAAU
rnacentral:rRNA from 1 species